GACUUUAUAUUCAAUAAAUGAUGUUAAAUUGCAAAUUUAAAGGUAUUAAAUUUAGUUUAAUUAAGGUUU
rnacentral:tRNA from 1 species